UACGUAGGGUGCGAGCGUUACUCGGAAUUACUGGGCGUAAAGCGUACGCAGGCGGUUUUGUAAGCCAGAUGUGAAAGCCCCGGGCUUAACCUGGGAAUGGCAUUUGGGACUGCAAGGCUGGAGUGUGGCAGAGGAGACUGGAAUUCCUGGUGUAGCAGUGAAAUGCGUAGAUAUCAGGAGGAAUACCGAUGGCGAAGGCAGGUCUCUGGGCUGACACUGACGCUCAUGCACGAAAGCGUGGGGAGCAAACAGG
rnacentral:rRNA from 1 species